GACUGCACACCCCGACAGCCCUCCCGUCCCUUUGGGGGACAGCGCCAACCCCCAGAGCGACUGUCCCCACCUCCCUGCACCCACAAAGCCCAGCCAGUGGUUCCCAUCGUUAAUGGCGAUAACAAACCUGGAGUGACUUGGCUUCCCUCAUGCCACAGAAGUGACACCAGAUCAAGCUCAGCUGGUGGAAAACCCCCUCCACGUCCGUGCACUGCCUGGCACAGCCACUCCUAGGGACCUCAGGGGGCCCAGGGAUGAAAGAGCUACUCCCAAAUGUGGCACCCAUCAGCAUCCCAGGACAGAAACAUGCCUGUCUCUUACUACUUAUAAUACUUAAUACUUAUAGUAUAUAAUGCACACUACAAGUCAAAUUUAAAUUGCUCCUCUGCUAGCAAAUAGCUCUUCACUCAUGUCCAGCAUCACCUCAGGGAUUAUUUGGAAAGGAUGCAGUAAUUUUAUUUGUGAAUUAAAGAAUUAAUUUGGUA